GUAGCAAAGUUAACAGCAGUCCCAGUAUCUGUCGUGCUAGUAGGCCAUGAGAUUUUGGGGAUUUCUUGAGAGCUGGAUUUUCCUGAUAUCCCUGCAGAGAGUGGAGUUCUGUGUUUGUAACUGGAUUGUGCCUUCAGUGGAAGCUGGCAUUGCUCCCUGCUGCUGAACAUUGAUCCUUCCAAUAGGAAUGCAGGGAAAACCAAAGGAAAUUUCUCCUUGGUGAGGCCUGGUGUGUCUUCUCUUCUGUGGGCAUAAAAGGGGCUUUGCUUGGGGCAGGGAGCAUUAUGAAAAGCAUGGAAAUAAGGACCUCAUAAAACAUGGAAAAAUACAUGACCUGGAAAAUCUCCAUAAAACUGAAGUCAAAGAGAGAAAACUCUUCAUGACGGAAGUCAUGCCUCACAUAAAGGAAAAUAGUUGUAAUUGCUGGAGGCCUGUCAACCUGUCUGCAGGCCGUCACUGCAGAAGCUCAUCUAGA